GCCCGCCUAGCUCAAUCGGCCAGAGCGUCAGACUUUUACGAGAGGUGUAAUAAUCUGAAGGCUGCGAGUUCGACCCUCGCGGUGGGCU